UACGUAGGUGGCAAGCGUUGUCCGGAUUUAUUGGGUUUAAAGGGUGCGUAGGCGGCCUGAUAAGUCGGGGGUGAAAUUCUGCGGCUUAACCGCAGGACGGCCUUCGAGACUGUCGGGCUUGAGCACGGUAGAGGCAGGUGGAAUUCCCGGUGUAGCGGUGGAAUGCGUAGAGAUCGGGAAGAACAUCGGUGGCGAAGGCGGCCUGCUGGGCCGUUGCUGACGCUGAGGCGCGACAGCGUGGGGAGCAAACAGG
rnacentral:rRNA from 1 species